AGUGAAACAGAACCUGAAACCGUGUGCUUACAAGUAGUCAGAGCCCGUUAAUGGGUGAUGGCGUGCCUUUUGUAGAAUGAACCGGCGAGUUACGAUUUGAUGCAAGGUUAAGCAGUAAAUGUGGAGCCGUAGCGAAAGCGAGUCUGAAUAGGGCGUUUAGUAUUUGGUCGUAGACCCGAAACCAGGUGAUCUACCCUUGGUCAGGUUGAAGUUCAGGUAACACUGAAUGGAGGACCGAACCGACUUACGUUGAAAAGUGAGCGGAUGAACUGAGGGUAGCGGAGAAAUUCCAAUCGAACCUGGAGAUAGCUGGUUCUCUCCGAAAUAGCUUUAGGGCUAGCCUCAAGUGAUGAUUAUUGGAGGUAGAGCACUGUUUGGACGAGGGGCCCCUCUCGGGUUACCGAAUUCAGACAAACUCCGAAUGCCAAUUAAUUUAACUUGGGAGUCAGAACAUGGGUGAUAAGGUCCGUGUUCGAAAGGGAAACAGCCCAGACCACCAGCUAAGGUCCCAAAAUAUAUGUUAAGUGGAAAAGGAUGUGGCGUUGCCCAGACAACUAGGAUGUUGGCUUAGAAGCAGCCAUCAUUUAAAGAGUGCGUAAUAGCUCACUAGUCGAGUGACACUGCGCCGAAAAUGUACCGGGGCUAAACAUAUUACCGAAGCUGUGGAUUGUCCUUUGGACAAUGGUAGGAGAGCGUUCUAAGGGCGUUGAAGCAUGAUCGUAAGGACAUGUGGAGCGCUUAGAAGUGAGAAUGCCGGUGUGAGUAGCGAAAGACGGGUGAGAAUCCCGUCCACCGAUUGACUAAGGUUUCCAGAGGAAGGCUCGUCCGCUCUGGGUUAGUCGGGUCCUAAGCUGAGGCCGACAGGCGUAGGCGAUGGAUAACAGGUUGAUAUUCCUGUACCACCUAUA
rnacentral:rRNA from 1 species